CACGUAGGGCGCAAGCGUUGUCCGGAAUUAUUGGGCGUAAAGAGCUCGUAGGCGGUCUGUUGCGUCCGCUGUGAAAACUCGGGGCUUAACCCCGAGCCUGCAGUGGAUACGGGCAGACUAGAGUUCGGUAGGGGAGACUGGAAUUCCUGGUGUAGCGGUGAAAUGCGCAGAUAUCAGGAGGAACACCAGUGGCGAAGGCGGUGCUCUGGGCCGGAACUGACGCUGAGGAGCGAAAGCGUGGGAGCAA
rnacentral:rRNA from 1 species